rnacentral:rRNA from 1 species
AUUGAACGCUGGCGGCAGGCCUAACACAUGCAAGUCGAACGGCAGCACAGUACUUGCUUCCUCAUACAGCGGGCGACGGGCGGGUAAUGCCUAGGAAUCUCCGUGUCUGUGUUGGAUAACGGCCGAAAGUGGGCACUAUUACGCCAUUAGUGCUGAGGGCGUACGGGGGAGAGCAUCGGACCUUCCGAUCUCACGCGAUUCGAGGUGGGAUUAGCUAGUUGGCGGGGUAAAGGCCUACCAAGGCGACGAUCCGUAACUGGCCUGAGAGGAUGAUCAGCCACACUGGAACUGAGACACGGUCCAGACUCCUACGGGAGGCAGCAGUGGGGAAUAUUGGACAAUGGGCGAAAGCCUGAUCCAGCCAUGCCGCGUGUGUGAAGAAGGUCUUCGGGUUGUAAAGCACUUUAGGUUGGGAGGAAGGGCAGUAAGUUAAUACCCCGCUGUUUUGACGGUACCAAAAGAAUAAGCACCGGCUAACUUCGUG